rnacentral:rRNA from 1 species
AGGCCUCGGUUGUAAGACUCUUCGUCCGGGGAACGGAAAUACGUGGUCUCUAACAUAGGCCAUGGAUGACGGUACCGGACUAAGAAGCACCGGCUAACUACGUGCCAGCAGCCGCGGUAAUACGUAGGGUGCGAGCGUUAAUCGGAAUUACUGGGCGUAAAGCGUGCGCAGGCGGUUUUGUAAGACAGAUGUGAAAUCCCCGGGCUUAACCUGGGAACUGCGUUUGUGACUGCAAGGCUAGAGUACGGCAGAGGGGGGUGGAAUUCCUGGUGUAGCAGUGAAAUGCGUAGAGAUCAGGAGGAACACCGAUGGCGAAGGCAGCCCCCUGGGCCUGUACUGACGCUCAUGCACGAAAGCGUGGGGAGCAAACAGGAUUAGAUACCCUGGUAGUCCACGCCCUAAACGAUGUCGACUAGUCGUUCGGAGCAGCAAUGCACUGAGUGACGCAGCUAACGCGUGAAGUCGACCGCCUGGGGAGUACGGCCGCAAGGUUAAAACUCAAAGGAAUUGACGGGGACCCGCACAA